rnacentral:lncRNA from 1 species
UGAUACCCGUUAAUUUGAACUCUGAGACCCUAAAUUCUUCAAAAUCUCUCUCUCUCUCUCUCUCUCUCUCUCUCUCUCUCUCUCUGGUGUGUGUGUGUGUGUGUGUGUGUGUGUGUGUGAAGGGUAUUAACAUUGGGUGUUGUUCUUCAAUUACUCUUCAGCUCAUAAUUUGAGAGUCUCUCACUGAAUUUGGAGCUCACCAAUUUAGUAGGUUUGCUGGCUAGCAAGCUGCAGGAUCCUCCUAGCCCUGCCUCUCCAGGACUUGGCUUAUAAGUGAGCCACUACCCCCUGGAUUUUAUCUAUCUAUCUAUCUAUCUAUCUAUCUAUCUAUCUAUCUAUCUAUCUAUCUAUCCUCUAUUUAUCUAUCCAGUAUGUUUGUGUGUGUGUGUGAAGUAUACACCUGUUAAUGUGUAUAUAUGCACAUGUAUAUGAAGGUGCAGGUACUUAAGGGUGCACGUGGAAGUAAGAGGUCAAGGUUGAGUGUCUUUACUGAAUUGUUCUCCAUUGUUAUUUUAGGGGGGCUCUCCUGAACCUGACAUUCAUCUCUUGGGCCAGGCUGGCUGGCUGAUCAAUGAGCUCCAGGAACCUGCCUGCCUCCACUCCCCCAGUGCUGCGGUUACAGGAAGUGUGCAUGCUUUGGGAUCCACACAACUGACUGGAACACCAUCGCAUGAAAGGCUACAUAGUAGAGAUGAUCUCUACGGCCCAGGGGACCUGUCCUUUGGGCUGCUCCCAGAGCAAUGGUAACACAAGAUUCCAGGAAUCCAUCCUCAAAUCUAGAAACUCAAUCCAAUGACACACACCUGCAGUGAUGACCAGUCCCUUCACUGAGUAAGCAGAGGGCACAUAGACAGCUAUGGGUGGAAGAUGAAACCAUCGCAACCGCAUAGACAACGGUGUCAACACUGGAACCAAUGCCGGGCCAAGCAGGGACCUGGCCUAAUUCUCCAGCCAAGUGGAAGCAUUGUGCAAAUCUGCAACCGCCUCUGCAUCAUGACUGUCUAAUCCUAAUUGUAAUGUCAUCUGCUCCAGUCAGGUCUUUUGCACACAGGGCUCACUGUCAGGGUCCCCUACAGCUUUAGUAGCCCAACUUUCUUCAGCCCUUUUGGUUGGCAACAGUUUCUCCAUAUCUGUCUGAAGGAUGGAGACCUGUUGGAGAAUAUUCAGUGAGGUAUCUGUCGGGCAUUUCUUCAUGACUUGGCUCAGGUAUCCUGGGUGAAAACAACACAAAAAUAAAAGUCAGACUCAUCCCUUUCCACCUUACUGGGUCACUCAGUGUCCACUGUCCAAUCCCCAGAGCUAGUGACUUAAAUCAGGGUAGCACUGGGCUAGACUUCCCCACUACAAUGUUACCUUUUUAAUGAAUACAACUUUUAGGAGGCAUUUUUCAAACAAACAAACAAACAAAGAAACAAACUGUAGGAGGCUGGAGAGAUGGCUCAGUGGUUAAGACAACUGACUGCAAUUCCAGAGGUCCUGAGUUCAAUUCCCAGCAACCACAUCUUGGCUCACAACCAUCUGUAAUGGGAUCUGAUGCCCUCUUCUGGUGUGCCUGAAGACGGCUACAGUGUACUCAUAUAAAUGAAACAAAUAAAUCUGUAAGGAAAGGAAGGAAGGGAGGGAGGGAGGGAGGGAGGGAGGGAGGGAGGAAGGAAGGAAAGAAAGAAGACUGUAAUUUCCUUGGUCCUCAACAAACACUACACUUAAGAACUUAUUUAUUUAUUUAUUUAUUUAUUUAUUUGGUUUUUAUUCGAGACAGGGUUUCUCUGUGUAGCCCUGGCUGUCCUGGAACUCACUCUGUAGACCAGGCUGGCCUCGAACUCAGAAAUCCGCCUGCCUCUGCCUCUCGAGUGCUGGGAUUAAGGGCGUGUGCCACCACUGCCCGGCAUGAACUCGUUUAUUAAGUGAGUUAUGGCAGAGUCCUAUGGCAUUGAGGUUAGAGGCACAGACGUUAUCCCAACCCUUGAGAGGUUGUGAUUUGAAGAUAGAAGACCAAGGUCAGCCUGUACUACAUAUAGAGAUUUUUGUCUCAACAAACAAUUGUUAUCAUCAGUUUUUGGUUUUUUUUUAAAGCUAAAUUGCUGUGUGCUUGCUUAUAUGAUGUGUCCGUGUGUGUGCCUGUGAGUGCGUGCUCACGCCAUGGUGCACAUGUGGCGGUCAGAGGAUAACGGUCUGACUCAGUCCUUUCAUUCUUCUGUGGGUUCCAGGAUGGAGCCCAGGUGAUCAGGCAAGCGCAUUUCCCCACCAAGCCGCAUUGUUAACCCUCAUGCAUUAAAAAAAAAAAAAAAAAAUUCCAGACAGUUUUUCUCUGAGUAGAUCAGUCUAGCCUCAUCUGCUUGUCUCUGCCUCCUGAGUGCUGGGAUUAAAGGUAUGUGCCACCACUGCCUGGCAAUAAAUUACUUUUAUGUUCAAAUUGUCUGUUAUUUUGCUGGAGUGACCUCCUUCCAACUGGGUUCUGAGGAUUUUUUAUUUGUUUGUUUGCUUGUUUGUUUAGAGAUAAAGUUCACAGGUAGCUCAGGUUGGCUUGAACGCCCAGCUUCCUGGGAUUAAAGGCGUCCGUCACUAUCCCCAGCAAUAAUUUAGUUAGAAAGGAUGCUCCAGGCUCUUGAUAUAUUUUUCCUGCCCCAGCUCUGCGGCCGACGACCACUUCAAGAUGUCCUUAUUCCUUUCUGUAGAGAACAGUUUUUAGAAGUCAUGAUAUUGAUGUGAAGUGUGUUCGGCCUCCCUCGUCCCGCCCCCAUUACUGCACUUGUCUAUAUCGGAAGCUCUGAAUGGAGUCUAAAGUGUCCAUCUCAAGCUAAAACCACAGCACUUGUCCUAGAGUUGCCUCUUCUGGUCUUCAUACCGCCUCCAACCGUGCUCAGUCUGGCAAUGCAGAGCUCCUGCAGCUGGAGGAGAGGAUGUUACAAAAAAAGUCCCUAUGAGGCUAUGAAGGAAGAGCAUUCAUUCACCGUGCAGGUUUUGGCACGAGAGUGUUUUGGCAGGACUCAGCUUCCUCUGCAGCGGCCUGGGCAGAAGUGCCUGCCAUGUGGGAGGAACAGCAGGAAUCACACAGCCCUGUAACAGGGAAUGAUGGAGGCAGACAUUUAUGGACCAUUGUAAAGAUUCUGAUUUGUCAAAUGACCAUGAUCGGAAGCUAUCAGAACACGCUGAACAGAGGAGGGGGAUGGCUCUCAAAGGCCUUGUUCUAACUGUGAACGUGAAAGCCAGGAGACCAGCCAUAAAGGUAAAUGAGGAGGUUGGUUCACAGGUAUGAGAAAACGCAGGUCUGGGAGUCUGUUUGGGAGGCUGGUUAACUGGAUGGGACCUGUGCUCUGAGAGGCAGGUUGGGGUAUCCAUGAUAUAAAUACAACUGAAAACCUAGGGACAAAUGUGGAGAACUUUUGGGGGUCCCUAGGCAGGAAUCUGAUAUUGGCCAAGGACAAGGAAAUGGGCUUCAGGCAGGAAUCUAAUUUUAGGCUAGAACAAGGAAACAACAACAACAACAACAACAAAAUAACAAAAGAAGUAGACUUCAGGCAAGAAUAGGACUUUGGGCUAGAGCGGUGAAGUAGGCUCAGACACCUUGGUCACCCUGAUAAGCCCUUAGAAACAGUGAUCACAGAGGUGAUCGUGGGACUCUGUUUGUUGCCUUGCUUGUUCCUUGACUAUCUGUGUUUGUUGUCUUGCUUGUUCUUUAACCUAGAACUGACCUUAAUACUUGCAUGAAAUUAAAAUGGUAUAAAGGCUGUUUGGGAAAAAAUAAACCUGCCUCAGUCUCAGAAUUGACUGGGGUCAUGCUGCAG